GCAAUGAGAUAUCAAUGGAAACUGUAAGACCUUUUGUAUUCACAAAACAAAGACAGAUGUAGAGAAAAUGAAAAAAGUGCUAAAUCAGUAAAAACUCAUAGGAAAAAAAAUAUUUUUUGUACAUUCAUCAUUCUUUAUUUGCUAUUAUGUGCUAGCCCUCCAACCUUUGCUUCCCUUAUCAUUUUAUUAAGCUGAAAAUGUGU